GACGAACGCUGGCGGCGUGCUUAACACAUGCAAGUCGAACGGAAAGGCCCCUUUCGGGGGGUACUCGCGUGGCGAACGGGUGAGUAACACGUGAGUAACCUGCCCUUGACUCUGGGAUAACUUCAGGAAACUGGGGCUAAUACCGGAUAGGAGCUCCUGCUGCAUGGUGGGGGUUGGAAAGUUUCGGCGGGUGGGGAUGGACUCGCGGCUUAUCAGCUUGUUGGUGGGGUAGUGGCUUACCAAGGCUUUGACGGGUAGCCGGCCUGGGAGGGGGACCGGCCACAUUGGGACUGGGAUUCGGCCCAGACUCCUACGGGGGGCAGCAGGGGGGAAUAUUGCACAAUGGGUGGAAGCCUGAUGCAGCAACGCCGUGGGGGGGAUGACGGCCUUCGGGUUGUAAACCGCUUUCGCUCAUGACGAAGCUUUGUGUGACGGUAGUGGGUAAAGAAGCACCGGCUAACUACGUG
rnacentral:rRNA from 1 species